GGAAGACGAGAUAAACCUUGAGUUAGAAGAACUGUUUCAGUUAUUCAAUCAAGACGCCCUCGACAAAGCUGUCAUCAGUUGCUACUGCCUAAUGAAGAAGCUGGAAUACAAAAGAGGCAAGCUCCUACCGCUGGGGUUCAUAGACCCAAACACAGUUCAUGAAGUUACGGUUCGACGGUACCCCAAGGACACAGAGGACAACAUCGUAAUGUUUUUAGAGAAGCAAGCAGACAAAGAGGAUAUAUUCUUUCCCUACAACUUCAAUUUCCACUUUAUUCUCCUAAUCAUUGAUCUUCACCUUGGAGUCGUAAACGUCAUGGACUCGAAACGUAAAGAAUAUGCGGAAUGGGCGGACAUGGCUGCCAUCCUCCAGAGG